rnacentral:rRNA from 1 species
GCAUAUCAAUAAGCCGGAGGGAAAAGAAACCCAACAGGGAUUGCCCCCAGUAACGGCGAGUGAAGCGGCAACAGCUCAAAUUUGAAAUCUGGCCCUUACGGGUCCGAGUUGUAAUUUGUAGAGGAUGCUUUUGGCAAGGCGCCGCCCGAGUUUCCCUGGAACGGGACGCCACAGAGGGUGAGAGCCCCGUCUGGCUGGCCGCCGAGCCUCUGUAAAGCUCCUUCGACGAGUCGAGUAGUUUGGGAAUGCUGCUCAAAAUGGGAGGUAUAUGUCUUCUAAAGCUAAAUAUUGGCCAGAGACCGAUAGCGCACAAGUAGAGUGAUCGAAAGAUGAAAAGCACCUUGAAAAGAGGGUUAAAUAGUACGUGAAAUUGUUGAAAGGGAAGCGCUUGUGACCAGACUUGGGCGCGGCGGAUCAUCCGGGGUUCUCCCCGGUGCACUUCGCCGCGUCCAGGCCAGCAUCAGUUCGUCGCGGGGGAAAAAGGCUUCGGGAACGUGGCUCCCUCGGGAGUGUUAUAGCCCGUUGCGUAAUACCCUGCGGUGGACUGAGGACCGCGCAUCUGCAAGGAUGCUGGCGUAAUGGUCACCAGCGACCCGUCUUGAAACACGGACCAAGGAGUCGUCUUCGUAUGCGAGUGUUCGGGUGUCAAACCCCUACGCGUAAUGAAAGUGAACGCAGGUGAGAGCUUCGGCGCAUCAUCGACCGAUCCUGAUGUUCUCGGAUGGAUUUGAGUAAGAGCAUACGGGGCCGGACCCGAAAGAAGGUGAACUAUGCCUGUAUAGGGUGAAGCCAGAGGAAACUCUGGUGGAGGCUCGCAGCGGUUCUGACGUGCAAAUCGAUCGUCAAAUAUGGCAUGGGGGCGAAAGACUAAUCGAACCUUUCUAGUAGCUGGUUUCCGCCGAAGCU